rnacentral:misc_RNA from 1 species
GUUGAAGAACGCAGCGAAAUGCGAUACGUAAUGUGAAUUGCAGAAUUCAGUGAAUCAUCGAGUCUUUGAACGCACAUUGCGCCCCCUGGUAUUCCGGGGGGCAUGCCUGUCCGAGCGUCAUUGCUGCCCUCAAGCACGGCUUGUGUGUUGGGCCUCCGUCCUCCUCCCGGGGGACGGGCCCGAAAGGCAGCGGCGGCACCGCGUCCGGUCCUCGAGCGUAUGGGGCUUCGUCACCCGCUCUUGUAGGCCCGGCCGGCGCUUGCCGACACAUCAAUCUUUUUUCCAGGUUGACCUCGGAUCAGGUAGGGAUACCCGCUGAACUUAAGCAUAUCAAUAAGCGGAGGA